GAUGAACGCUAGCGGCAGGCUUAAUACAUGCAAGUCGAGGGACAGCACAGGUAGCAAUACUGGGUGGUAACCGGCAAACGGGUGCGGAACACGUACACAACCUUCCUUUAAGUGGGGGAUAGCCCAGAGAAAUUUGGAUUAAUACCCCGUAAUAUAGUUGAAUGGCAUCAAUUGAUUAUUAUAGCUACGGCGCUUAAUGAUGGGUGUGCGGCUGAUUAGAUAGUUGGCGGGGUAACGGCCCACCAAGUCUGCGAUCAGUAGCUGAUGUGAAAGCAUGAUCAGCCACACGGGCACUGAGACACGGGCCCGACUCCUACGGGAGGCAGCAGUAAGGAAUAUUGGUCAAUGGACGCAAGUCUGAACCAGCCAUGCCGCGUGAAGGAUUAAGGUCCUCUGGAUUGUAAACUUCUUUUAUUUGGGACGAAAAAGGGCCUUUCUAGGUCAACUGACGGUACCAGAUGAAUAAGCACCGGCUAACUCCGUGCCAGCAGCCGCCGUAA
rnacentral:rRNA from 1 species